GUAGGAGGCAAGCGUUAUCCGGAUUCACUGGGCGUAAAGCGCGUGCAGGUGGUUCGGUAAGUUGGGCGUGAAAUCUCCCGGCUCAACUGGGAGAGGUCGUCCAAUACUACCGAACUUGAGAGCAGAAGAGGAAGAUGGAAUUCCCGGUGUAGUGGUGAAAUGCGUAGAUAUCGGGAGGAACACCAGUGGCGAAGGCGAUCUUCUGGUCUGUUUCUGACACUCAGACGCGACAGCUAGGGUAGUAAACGGGAUUAGAGACCCCGGUAAUCCUAGCCGUAAACGAUGUGAACUUGGCGUUGGUGGGUUAAACUCCAUCAGUGCCGUAGCAAACGCGAUAAGUUCACCGCCUGGGGACUACGGCCGCAAGGUUA
rnacentral:rRNA from 1 species